UACGGGGGGAGCAAGCGUUGUUCGGAUUACUGGCGUAAAGGGCGCGUAGGCGGUCAGCACAAGUCAGUUGUGAAAUCUCCGGGCUUAACUCGGAACGGUCAACUGAUACUGUGCGACUAGAGUGCGGAAGGGGCAACUGGAAUUCUCGGUGUAGCGGUGAAAUGCGUAGAUAUCGAGAGGAACACCUGCGGCGAAGGCGGGUUGCUGGGCCGACACUGACGCUGAUGCGCGAAAGCCAGGGGAGGCGAACGG
rnacentral:rRNA from 1 species